rnacentral:ncRNA from 1 species
ACGUGAAGACGACUUCACCUCUCCCAACAGAAUUCAGGGACGACCCUG